rnacentral:rRNA from 1 species
GUCUACGGCCAUGCCACCCUGAACAAGCCCAGUCCUGUCUGAUCUCGGAAGCUAAGCAGGGUCGGGCCUGGUUAGUACUUAGAUGGGAGACCACCUAGGAAGACCAGGUGCUGAAGGCA